UACGGGGGGGGCAAGCGUUGUUCGGAAUUACUGGGCGUAAAGCGCGUGUAGGCGGUCCAAUAAGUCGGUCGUGAAAUCCCUUGGCUUAACCAAGGAACUGCGUUCGAAACUACUGGACUCGAGUAUCGGAGGGGAUGGCGGAAUUCCCGGUGUAGAGGUGAAAUUCGUAGAUAUCAGGAGGAACACCGGUGGCGAAGGCGGGUCUCUGGGCAGUAACUGACGCUGAGGAGCGAAAGCGUGGGGAGCGAACAGG
rnacentral:rRNA from 1 species